rnacentral:rRNA from 1 species
UACGUAGGGUGCAAGCGUUGUCCGGAAUUAUUGGGCGUAAAGAGCUCGUAGGCGGUUCGUCGCGUCGGCUGUGGAAACCCGGAGCUCAACUCCGGGCCUGCAGUCGAUACGGGCGGACUUGAGUGUUGCAGGGGAGACUGGAAUUCCUGGUGUAGCGGUGAAAUGCGCAGAUAUCAGGAGGAACACCGGUGGCGAAGGCGGGUCUCUGGGCAACUACUGACGCUGAGGAGCGAAAGCGUGGGGAGCGAACAGG